AAGAUAAUAGUUUAUAAAGAAUAUUUGAUUUGCACUCAAAAGGCACUUAUGUUUAUCUUA
rnacentral:tRNA from 1 species